AGUGCUGCACGCGGGCGGGGCGCUGGUCGCCCCGGUGCUCCGCGAGCCGCGCGGAGGGUGUGAACCCGGGAAGGACUCGCCAGCAGACCUCGACCGCUGCCCGCUGCGUGGGAGCGUGCGGGCUGGGGCGCGGCGUGCGGGUGCUCCCCUACUCAGCUCUGCUUGGGGUCUCUGCAGUGGCAACCAGGUGACAGCUGGAUCUGGAGUCUUCUGAAGGUUAAACCAGGGUGAGCCAUCCUCAGGUAGGUGGCAUGUGGCCUUUCCAGUGGCUAGUUGGGGCUUCCUCACUGCAUGGAUUCUCCAUGGUAUCUGGCUCCCCCUGGCAUGUGUGUGUCAGGCCAGGCAGAACCGUUAGACUUCUAUGACUCAGUGGUCCAGUGUCAUGUAGAAUCAUUCUCACUGUGUCCUAUAGGUCAGAAAGAACAUUCUGGGCCACCACCUUUCCAAAGAAAGGAAAUGUCACAAAGUAGGACCCGUGAUCAUCCUCUGUGACUGUAGGGGACUGUGUUUUCCAGCUUUGGCCUGGCCAGCCUAGUGUCCUGAAGGGCAAAGAGACCACACACCAGUGAGCCCCUCCCAGAAGCUGGCCUACCACAGCUGGGCAGGCCCAAGCAGGCAGGCCAGGGCAGGUGGCUGAGCAGGUGGCCCCAGCCCAUGAGACCAGGCCCUCUGCCUCCCGCCUUGGUCUGAGCUGCAGCUGGAAGCUCUGUGAUUUGUCUUCAGGAUUGGAGCAACCACAGGCAGGAAGUACCUGUGCUAGAGUGAGACUCCCCAAGCCCUGCAGUGGGAAGGGGCCUGCCUGGCCAUUGGCUGUGGCAUGCUGAAUUCCGACUUCUUUCCCAGAAAUGACAGCAUGUGGCCUUUUCAGUACAGGCAGAACGUUUUCCAGGUAGAUAUCCGGUCCAUCUCUAGGGGCUUUGGAGACCUUGUCUAGGGCGUGUUUAGAGGUAGAGACAGCACCUGGUGGGACAGAAGGACCCUCUGUAGGUUCCUGUGGGUACUAGCUGAGACAAACUUCUGCAGACUCCGCGGCUUACAUCCUCGCAGCUCUGGAGGGCAAGAUCCCAGGUAGGGUGUUGGCAGGGCUGACCCCGUCUGGUGCCCCGGGGAGGUGGCAUUCCUUGCCUUCUGCAGCUUCUACAAGCACCCCCACUCCUGACACUUGCUGCCCCUUCCCGUCUUCAAAGCCAGCAGCAGGUGUCUCUGUCCUUCCACUUUCACCCCUUAUCUUCUGACCCUGUAGCUCCCUCUUCCAAGGAUUCUGAUAACCAGGGUCACCCCAUCUCAGGGUCUUCACUUCAUCCCAUCUGCAAAGUCCUUUUUGCCAUGUGAGGUCCCAGACCACAGGUUCUGGGAACAGGUGUGGACACACAGCAGGCACACACUGGGAGAGAUGGUACCACAGCCAGGGCAGAGCCCUGGGUCCUGAGAGUCUAGGAUCUGCAGGUCUGCAGGACACUGAUGCUUUCCUUUCUGUUUAAGGGCAGUAGGGCAAGUUCCCCUGUAAAGGAUGGGGUGGGAGGGAGGGAGGGAUUCAGAGUGGUCCCAGGGUAAAGAGGGUAGAGGCAAAGGAGGCUGGGGCCCAGUAAGCAAGGCCUCUGGUGACACUAGGCUUUUGGGCAACGUCCAGCAGCCUGUCAGGUAAAGAAGUUGGCAGCUGGGUGCCUGGCAGGCUGGGGGGUCUGGAGAAUUCAGUAUGCCACCCUGGGAGCUGCCAGCAAGAGGACCAGGUGAGGGGGUGGGGGUGAGAAGGGGGACUGAGGGAGCGGUGACCCUAGGGCACAGAGGCUCCCCACAUGUCAUUGGGCAGGGCUGGGCUGCUCUACAGGUCUGGCUUUAAGAGGCCCAGCCUCAGUCCUCCUGUGUGCCAGGCAUGUCAGAGCAGGCCCCUGAGGGACAGCAUCCUCAGCCACCCCCAAGUGCCAUGCCAUGCCACACUGGAGCCUGGUGGCCAGCUCCCACCAGCACAGACAGGCUCCAGAGACCUGUCUCCACCAGCUCCCGGGGAUUGCCUUCCCAGCUCCCACAUGAGACCCUUGGCCCGUAGGCCUGGGUCUCAGUGGGAACGGGCAUUAGAAGCUGGAGACCAUGCGUGAGACACACAUUUGGGGCCCCUGGCCUGCCUGGGAACACUUGUUAUGCCUCAUGCCGGGUGGAGGCUGGGCUGGCGCAGAGCUCUGAUGGAGGCCACUUCCCUUCGGCAGCCAGAGCAGCGCCUUCUGUGCCUCGCCUACAGGGUCUGCUUUAGCUCUCAAGUCAUUCUGGGCCUCCUGUGGACUGGGUAUCUGUCUGGAAAAUGUCCUGCUUGCACUGAAAAGGCCACGUGCUGUCUGUGGGCACCUUGCUGUGGCUGCUUGACUGUCGUCUCUGGGAGAGGAGUCCGAGAGGCACCCUGGAGCACCAGGUGACCCCUGGACUCUGGACUGCAGACGGCAGAGCUGCCUCACAUGUGUGGCAGCCACAGCUCUGCCAAGGUCUGGACUCUGCCUGCUGCUGUUCUCAUUCAGACAGGAACAGAGCUUCAAGAGGCUGAGUGCCUGGGCGGUGGGGGCAUCGCUGUCACUCCUGUGGCUUUGGUCACCAAGUGAACAAAAACCCCUCUGGGAGCCGGGCACCAUGGCACACGCCUGAGGCAGGAGGACUGCAGGUUGGAGGCCAGCCUUAGCAACUUAGCAAGACCCUAACAACUUAGCGAGACCCUUUCUCACAAAGUAAAAAGGGCUGGGGGUGUAGCUCCGUGUCGGGAGCACCUGCUUUGAUCCCCAGUGCCCCCCACAAGACUGUAGUGCCCAUUGACAGGUGGAGGGGUGUCUUGGCUUUUUUGCUGCUGUGACUAAAGGGCCUCGAGCAGCACAACUAGAGAGGGGGAGAAGUCGAUCUGGGGGCUCACGGUUUCAGAGGCCUCAGGCCAGAGACAGCAGGCCCCACUCCUCGGGGCUCAAGAUGAGGCAGGACGUCAUGGCCCAAGAGUGUGGCCCAGGGAAGCAGCUGACCUGUGACCAGGAAGCAGAGACUCCUCUCUCCAGAUACAAAAUAGAGACCCAGGGCCACCUCCCUCCCACCAGGGGGUUGACUCUCUGGCUGAGGCUCCCCCAGCCCGGUCGCGUCUCCUCUGACCUUCCUGCAUUGUCUCACGUGGACCCUUGGGGGACACCUCUCAUAUAAACCUGUGGUGGACACCACUCAGCCUUAAACCACUGGGUUUGGCACAGUAUGGUGCCUGUGAGGAUGUGGGCUGAGUGGAAUGGGCUAGUCACUCGGAGCCAUACCCAUAUGAUGUACUAACAGGUGUCCCCAGAGUGCUCAGUCACAGGGACCAUGGGUGCAGGGGCCACGGGGUGGGUGUUAUCACUUCAUGGGGACAGAGCUUGGGUUAGGAAGAUGAAAACGUCCUGGAGGCGGAUGGUGGCGGUGCUUGAUGUGCUUAAUGCCACCAAGCUGUUCACUUGAAAAUGGUCCCAGCAGACAGGUGUGGAUGCCUGUCAUCCCAGCAACUAGGAGGCUGAGGCAGGAGGAUCACAAUUCCAGGUCAGCUGGCAACUUAGUGAGGCCCUGCCUCAAAAUAAAAAGUAACUCACUGAUAAAGCUCUUGCCUGCUAUGCUGGAGGCCCUGGGUUCAAAUCCCAGUACUGGGGGGAAAAGGAUCAAUCUUUUUGCAUUUAACAAAAUAAAGACUCCUCAGGAACUGUUAGUAGUGGCUGACUCCAGUUAAAGAGCCUUGCUUUUCUAUAUAUAUAUAUAUAUAUGUAUGUGUAUGCCUCCCACGUGCUAGGCAAGCACUCUGCCACUGAGCCACGGCCCCGCCCCCAAGAGCCUUACUUUAUAUCUUGUAUUUUAUUUAUUUAUUUUUAUGUGGAGUUGAGGAUGGAACCCAGGGCCUUGCAUGUGCUAGGCGAACGCUCUACUCUGAGCCCCAGCCCGGCCCCUUACAUCAUAGUACUGUUGUGAUUUUGCUGUGGCAUGUAUCACUCUUUCAAUUUUUUUUAAAAAAAGAAAUUUUAAAAAAUGCCAAACAUGAUAAUUUUUUUAUUAUAUGUAUUUCACAAGAAUUAAAGAUUGGGGGGAUACGUGAGGUGCCACUGCCUAGGCACGGGCAAGGGUGGGCUGUGGGCCAGACCUGGGGGAGGGGCCUGGCGGGGGUGGCUGCGCUGUCUGCCAGGGGACUCUGUAGGGCUGCAGGACAGGUGGAGGCCCCAGGCAGAGCCCUGGGAAAAGAUGGGGAGGGACACACUCUGGGCGUCACGGUGUGUUCCAGAGGCUUCCAGACCUGCCUUCAGCUGCACCAAGCCCUUGUGGCAGGGGGAGGGUCUGGCUUUUCUUCAGCCUCCUUCUUGUCCACUCAUCUGUGGUCCUUAGAGUGACGCUAAGGUGCAGAAGGAUGGGACCCAGCCCCUUGCCCACCCAGCUGCUCCGGGCUCUGUGCCAGUCUUGGUGGGGUCUUGCUGCCACUCCACCCUCGGGCACUGCUGUCCGAGUGAUGCUGGAGGCCCUUUCCCUGCUCUGUCUUCAGUGGUGGUGGCACCUUGCUACCGUCUGCUCUAGGUGGGGUCCCACAGCAGCCGUCUGGCUGGAGCUGAUCUGCACCUGCUCUCUGGCCCUCAGGGCCUCCCUGGGCAGCAGCCUCUGUGGGGCCAGGCACUGGGUCCUGUCUGCCCAUCUGCCAGCCUGCGUGUUCCAAUCUUGGGGACAGUUCUCGCUGGGUCUCAUCUCCUCGGUGGGUCUGUAACCUUUCUGUCGUUUCAGGGAGGUCUGAAGACACCAGAGGGCCCAUGGGUCUCUGUCAGGAGAACUCAGGCAGCAUCCUUCUGACAGGUGGCCCAGUCAGGAGCCCUGAAUGCCAGGUCAGGACUGGAGGGCAGAACUCAGAGGCCAUGUGGCCACGGGGGAACACGUGGCAUGUUCCCCCACCCUGACACUCUGGCCCCACUGGGAGCCUGCCCAGUUGGCAGAGGGGUGCUGGAGCAAGGAGCCUGCCCACUUGACCCCCUUGCCGCCCUCACCCUGCACUGCCCCAAGCAUGUUAGGGUGGCUGUCCCUGCCCUUUGGAGAGGCUGCCUAGGUCCCCUCAGCAGUCCCUAGGAACAGGUGAGCACCUGAGUGGUGUCAUAUCACAACCCUCACCACCUCCCCCUUGUGGGAAGUCCUCGGGCGAGGGCUGGGGCCAUAUGAGGGCUGCCUGCCCCCCAUGUUCAUGGAGCCCAGUCUGGCUGGAGGGGCUUGUGCAGGCUCAAGUCCUGCAGAGCCGAGGGCUGGGCUCCAGCCCUGCACCACCUCAGGCCAAUCAGCCCCCACUUCUGAGGGCACAAGCCUUGUGGAUAUGCAGCCCAGGGCCGGUGACUGGACCAAGACCCCACAUUUCCAACCUCCAGGCGCCCUUGGGUCUUGAGGGGAAGCCACUCAUCCCAUUCCAGAGUGGGCCCACCCGGAAGGCGCUAGCCAUGAACAAUGCCUUCGUGUGGCCGGUUCUCCCCCGCAAGAGAAAACAGUUUGACAGAAUAGAGUUUCCUGCGUUUGUGCCUCCACUGAGGGGUGAUUCACGCAGAGACCUCCCACCGAGGCACAGCCCUGCCAAGCCCCCUCAUCCCUGAGGCCCAGGGUGCAGCCCAAACACAGGCAUCAUCUGGGCUGUCACAUGGCAUGGGGGACUUCCUAGAGGAGAAGGCCUGGCUCUAAGGGCCAUCAGCUGCCCGGAGCCCGUGGGGAGGUUGGGGAGAGAUUCUCAGGUGACAGAGGAAGGACCAUCCUGCGGGGGCCACACUGAAGGUGCAGAUGCCAGGGGGUUUGGAUGGCACAUGGCCCUGGACAGCCCAGGUGGUCAGUCCAAAGGAUGUCUGAGUGUGCAGGGGCAGUGACGGACCCUCAUGGCAGAGGGACCUUGAGGCAUCUCAGGAAGGAGCUGGCACCCUCACUCCAGGACAGAUGUGUGCUAAUGCCAAUGAUCCUCAUUCAGUCGCUGCAGCUCUACGUAUGGGCCUGGACGGCUACUGCCCUGCCACCCCAUGUCCUAGGAGACAGCCUUGCUCUGCUUUCCCGCUCAGCAGCACCUGUCCCAUCAGGCCACUUCCCAGGUCUCUACUUCAACCUUGGUUUAGUCCCCAGAGCUGAAGGGUUCAUGAUGCCUGCAAGGCAACCCCUGGACCACCUGCAGCCCACUGCCUCUCACCUCUCGGCCUUGGGCCAGCCCCGCCUGCUGCCCUGCGUCCCUGGUUUUCCCUCUGGGCCUUGCUUUUGGCUCCCCCAUUCUCCCAUCCCUACUCCGAUGGUAGGUCCACACCUCUCCUGGCAUCACCUCACUAGGGCAGCUGCCCAAGAUGCUCAGGGCCAAGUGGACUCUGGCCCCCUUGCCUGCCUGGGGGCUAGAAGCCAGUACUCUGUCAUCCCCUCUCCUUUCAGGAUCCUGCCCUGUGGUUUAGACUCUCCCUGCUUCUCCCAUCUCUCCUGCAUGGGACCAAUAUGGCUUCUGCUUCUCAGAACACAGGCGGUUCCAGUUCAGCCCCCCACUGACCUCUCUUGGAUCUUGUGACCUUCAUCAGCUCAUGCCAAGGGCUUCCUUGCCCAGUUCCAGGCACCAGCGUGAUGCAGCUCCCCGCCUCUCCCUGAAAGGGCCAAGUCCUUUACAAGCACCCACUGCUACUUGUCAGUGGCCCCGUAGGCUCAGUACUGUGCAAGGUACUGUCACUUGAUGCCUCCUUCCAUCUGCACAAACCUUACACCAUGGAUGAGGUAAGGAGGCUCAGAGGUAGAGAAGAUGUGAGCUGGGCUAGGGGGCAUCUGAGUGGGCACUGUACAAGAGAUUAUGGUGGAUCCCAGAUGUGCUCUGCCUCUUGAGCUGGGGUGCAGAAGAGCUCCUACUCACCCUCUGGGAGAAGUCCCAGUCCCCUUGCAGGCUUGCCCCAUGACAGGCUCCUGCAAGAGCCUGGGUAGGAGAAGAAGGAGGCCAGGUCUUUCCAGCUUCUAUAAGCCUUGGCUGAGAUAGUGGCGCCACAGUGGUGACAGGCACCAUGGCAGCCAUGAUGGCAGUGACAGCAAGAGGAGGCUCCCCCUUUCCCAGCCACAGGGACACAGGUAGAACACAGCAACCUUGGGUCUGGUGACAGCUCCCCCUGUCUCCUCUGGCCUCUGUGACAGCUACAGCCUGAGCUCCAUUUCACUUCUGGUAGCCUGGCUCUCUACAAGUUCCACCCACCUGUCCAUGCCCUUGGAGACCAACUCCUCAUAUUAAAUUCCUAUUUGAAAUGCC